CUGAAUUAUUUAUGUAGCCACUGCUGAUGAUCUCGAUUUGAGAUCGAAAUAUUUGGCAAAUAAAUUGGUUUUUCUGAGCUUUUCCGAGUUUCAACU